UCUUACAAAAAUUUCUCCAGUUACACGAGCCGUACAGGGUCGUGUGGGGUGUCGUUAGAAAGAUAAUUGCAUGUACUUCCGUGGCAAAUAAGGUCUUAAUGGGUUUGAAAUUCAUCCACACUGAGACAUUGAAACAUACAAACUGAAAACUUACACUUUUCUUA